AACGCGAAGAACCUUACCUACACUUGACAUCCCUUGCAUUACCCGUAAUUGGGGAAAUCUCUUCGGAGACAAGGUGACAGGUGGUGCAUGGUUGUCGUCAGCUCGUGUCGUGAGAUGUUGGGUUAAGUCCCGCAACGAGCGCAACCCCUAUUGUUAGUUGCUACUAUUAAGUUAAGCACUCUAGCGAGACUGCCUGGGUUAACCAGGAGGAAGGUGGGGACGACGUCAAAUCAUCAUGCCCCUUAUGUGUAGGGCUACACACGUGCUACAAUGGCUGGUACAGAGAGACGCAAGACCGUGAGGUGGAGCAAAUCCCAGAAAACCAGUCCCAGUUCGGAUUGAAGGCUGAAACUCGCCUUCAUGAAGCCGGAGUUGCUAGUAGUCGCGAAUCAGAAUGUCGCGGUGAAUACGUUCCCGGGCCUUGUACACACCG
rnacentral:rRNA from 1 species